rnacentral:tRNA from 1 species
AAUGAAGUACCUGAAAAAAAGGAUCAUUUUGAUAGAAUAAACUAUGUAAAAUUUUACCUUCAUUA